CCCCAGUAACGGCGAGUGAAGCGGCAACAGCUCAAAUUUGAAAUCUGGCCCCCCCGGGCCCGAGUUGUAAUUUGUAGAGGAUGCUUUUGGCAAGGCGCCGCCCGAGUUCCCUGGAACGGGACGCCGCAGAGGGUGAGAGCCCCGUCUGGCUGGACGCCGAGCCUUUGUAAAGCUCCUUCGACGAGUCGAGUAGUUUGGGAAUGCUGCUCAAAACGGGAGGUAUAUGUCUUCUAAAGCUAAAUACCGGCCAGAGACCGAUAGCGCACAAGUAGAGUGAUCGAAAGAUGAAAAGCACUUUGAAAAGAGGGUUAAACAGUACGUGAAAUUGUUGAAAGGGAAGCGCUCAUGACCAGACUUGGGCUUGGCGGAUCAUCCGGCGUUCUCGCCGGUGCGCUUCGCCUGGCCCAGGCCAGCAUCAGUUCGCGCCGGGGGACAAAAGCUUCGGGAAUGUGGCUCCUCCGGGAGUGUUAUAGCCCGUUGCACAAUACCCUGGGGCGGACUGAGGUUCGCGCAUCUUGCAAGGAUGCUGGCGUAAUGGUCAUCAGCGACCCGUCUUUGAAACACGGACCAAGGAGUCGUCUUUCGUAUGCGAGUGUUCGGGUGUCAAACCCCUACGCGUAAUGAAAGUGAACGCAGGUGAGAGCUUCGGCGCAUCAUCGACCGAUCCUGAUGUUCUCGGAUGGAUUUGAGUAAGAGCAUACGGGGCCGGACCCGAAAGAAGGUGAACUAUGCCUGUAUAGGGUGAAGCCAGAGGAAACUCUGGUGGAGGCUCGCAGCGGUUCUGACGUGCAAAUCGAUCGUCAAAUAUGGGCAUGGGGGCGAAAGACUAAUCGAACCUUCUAGUAGCUGGUUUCCGCCGAAGUUUCCCUCAGGAUAGCAGUGUUGACUUCAGUUUUAUGAGGUAAAGCGAAUGAUUAGGGACCCGGGGGCGCUAUUUAGCCUUCAUCCAUUCUCAAACUUUAAAUAUGUAAGAAGCCCUUGUUACUUAGCUGAACGCGGGCAUUCGAAUGUAUCAACACUAGUGGGCCAUUUUUGGUAAGCAGAACUGGCGAUGCGGGAUGAACCGAACGCGAGGUUAAGGUGCCAGAGUAGACGCUCAUCAGACACCACAAAAGGUGUUAGUACAUCUUGACAGCAGGACGGUGGCCAUGGAAGUCGGAAUCCGCUAAGGACUGUGUAACAACUCACCUGCCGAAUGUACUAGCCCUGAAAAUGGAUGGCGCUCAAGCGUCUCACCCAUACCUCGCCCUCAGGGUAGAAACGAUGCCCUGAGGAGUAGGCGGACGUGGAGGUCAGUGACGAAGCCUAGGGCGUGAGCCCSGGUCGAACGGG
rnacentral:rRNA from 1 species